CUGGCAGCAACCUUGGUGUCAAUCCAGAGCAAGUGGAACCCGUUGUAAUAAUGCUUCAGUUCACCCACAAUCGUUUGGUGCCAGGACUUCCUCCCUACGGGGCUCUCUGUGCCUCGUGUCGGUGUUGGGGCGGGCGCAGCACCUCGGCUGGGCGCAGGCUGCUCCUGGGGCUCCUGGAGCACACGGGUGGAUGUGUGGAAUGAUCGCACGGCUUCAGCUGCAGAGUGAGGCAGGCGGGGAUCCGGCCGUGCGCGGUGCUGGCGUUGCGAGGGGCACACACAAGUCCUGUUUAAGUGCAAAUCCACCAACUGGACCAAAGCAAUCGCUGGAGAGCACGGAGAGAUGGAGUGCAGGAGCAGCUGGGAGCCUCUGGGCCUGGGCCUGGGCCUGGCCAGCGCCAGCAGCGCGCUCCAGCUGCGCAGGGCCAUGGUGCGGCCGGGCCGUCCCCUGCCGCCCGAUGCCCCCGCCCCGCUCUCCGCCGGCCGCGCUCCCCGCCGGGCGUCCGGCCUCGGUCCGCCGGGGCGGUCCCAUCGCGCCCUGCUCCCGGCGCUC
rnacentral:lncRNA from 1 species